UUUUGACUUCCAUGAGGAAGAUGAACCCAAAUUGGUUCUAGUGGAACCUUUCUUUUUCAAUUGUCGUUCCACUUUCAUGGCCAUGUGAACCAUGUCUUCCAACUCAACAUAGUGCUGCAAGUCAACCACAUUAGCAAUAUCUUGAUUUAACCCAUGUAAAAAUCUUGCCAUAGUGGCCUCUCGUUCUUCUUCAAUGUUGGCUCGAAUCAUGAUUAUUUCCAUCUCCUUGUGGUAAUCUUCCACACUUCUAGAACCUUGUGUAAGACUUUGAAGCCUUUGGUGCAGCUCCCUAUAAUAAUGACUAGGAACAAAUCUCCUCCUCAUGAUGGCCUUCAUCUCCUCCCAAGUGUUUAUAGGCCUUUCACGAUUUCGUCUCCUACUCAAAACAAGUUGAUCCGACCAAAUAAUAGCAUAAUCA
rnacentral:lncRNA from 1 species